rnacentral:rRNA from 1 species
GAUGAACGCUGGCGGCGUGCCUAAUACAUGCAAGUCGAGCGAACAGACGAGGAUCUUGCUCCUCUUACGUUAGCGGCGGACGGGUGAGUAACACGUGGAUAACCUACCUAUAAGACUGGGAUAACUUCGGGAAACCGGAGCUAAUACCGGAUAAUAUAUUGAACCGCAUGGUUCUAUAGUGAAAGACGGUUUUGCUGUCACUUAUAGAUGGAUCCUCGCCGCAUUAGCUAGUUUGUAAGGUAACGGCUUACCAAGGCAACGAAGCGUAGCCGACCGGAGAGGAUGGUCAGCCACACUGGAAGGGCGACAGGCCACAAGCGGAUUGAGACACGGCCAGUAGGCAAACGUCAGCAAUGGGCGGGAAACAGACGACAAUGGGCCAAGAGUGUGAUGCAGGUAUUCGGUGCGUAAGACUAAGUUAUUCGGGAAGAAAAGAGCUGUAAGUAACUAAGAACGAAUUGACGGUACCAAAACAAGAAGCGACGGCUAAAUACGUG